CUGAAUUACCUUUCAGAGAUGCAUGUUUUUGUCUUUGACUGCAGAUGGAGUCUAAGAUGCUUCUGUUCCUAAAUUAGGUGCCACAAUUAUAAGCAGAGCAUAGCUGGAGAAGAAACUGAGACCUCAUCCAUGAGGACUGUAUUCAGACAGCUGAGACCACACCAGACCUCUUAUCUAUGGCACACCAAUGCUGGAAACUGAAACUCUUCUGAGAAUACAUUAAGUCCAAACUCCUUCAUAUCAAACACUGCUCAUCCUUUACCUGACUAUUAAUUAAAAGAACUAAUUCUGCACUUCAGAAUAAAGGCAGAGAACAAGCAGGUACGAAAGAUGAUAUGUAAUUAUUUCUUCAUGGCUCUGCAGCAGGUCCAACAUCCUUCCUUCUUUGUGUGAAAAAUCUAUUACAAUCGACUCUGAGCCUCCAUAAUUGUUCUCCAUUAGUAAUGAUUUACAUGAUAUUACAGCUGUCACUGAAUGUCAAGAAUUGACAUUAUUCAGUUCUAGCUAUGAAGACUUUGUAUUUCUUUUUCACCCAAGGAAACAUCGUGAGGAAUGAAGAAUUCAGUUUUCUGAUCUGACAAUGGCACCAGGACAGGGGGGAACAAUCUGUCACUCUACUUGGAAACUCGAUAACGUGAUGCUUUUAAUUCACACAGCUUCAGUGCUUCUUAAAAAACCCAAAGUUAAUUUUCAUAAAAGGUAUUUCUGAGGAUUACAUGCCAAACCUGGGUUUUGGUUCUGCAGGCCUGAAAACUGCCAGAAAGAGAAUAGGCCUCCAAUUUCCAGCUGCAAGCCUGGAGGAGAAACAGGCGCUGGAAUUGAGGCUGCCUCCCACACCACUGAUGCUGUUGGAAGAGCGUGGCACACUGGUAUAUGACAUAGCAAACUGGUAGAGCAGCACAGAGUGAAAACAUCAUGCCUGUAUACAUGCCUGUGAGACACUGGACCCAAAAGAGAUGUCGUAUAAGCAUCCUCUCAUCAAAGGAGUUGUUCUAAGUUAAGCUGGAUAGACCUGAGUCUGGGUACAAGAACCCAGACUACAGGUACAGCUUCUCAGUGGGUGUGACUGAUGCAGCUGCUUAUGGUGGUAAUGACAACAGACUUGUUAAGAGUGUCUUCUCAAGACCUAGAGACCCAAGCUAUGUCCUGCAUUUCUGCAUCUGAAAAAUAUAGUCAAAGUCACUAUGUAGUCACUGACUUUUAAUUAGGAAGAUUAAGAUUCAGAAAGAAAUACAUAUGAGAGUGGUUCAUAAUGCCAUUUAGACAUGGACACUGAAGUUUGGAAAAUCAUAAAAGGUAUGAAGAAUGUACUGGCUGACACAAUUGGACCACUGCUUUUAAAAUUGUUCCUAAAGCAAAUUUAUGAAAGCAUAAGUGAACUUAGAAAGGAAUAAGAUCAACUGGAAAUCUGCCCUGGGCAGAUUUGGUUUCAUUUUGAAUAAUCUAUCUUUCUUCCAAACACAAGCCUCAUUGAUUAUCACUACAGAGGAAACCUGUUUUCCUUUAAAAAGUAAGAGUAAGUUGGUUUGUGUUUACUUCUCCAUAGCCAAGUCUCCACAUCAUACAACAACCACUAUAAUUUACACUAUUAUGUGAAACUCUCAGGGUGAUUAAUAGGGAAUUUUGAGGGCUCUGCUGGCCCAGAGGAUGAUGCUCUGUUAUUCCUGAGGAUCACACUGAAGAUCAGGACAGAACCACUCAGAGGGAGCUAAAAGGGAACAGCUGCAGCCACAAUGACCACGCUGUGACUGAACAGAGCAAUUCACUCCUAACAGCUCCAUGCUGUCUGUAACAAGCUAUCAAGAGCAGCACAUCCUACUUGGAAAAAAUAUUCAUCUGUCAAGAGUAAUUUUUCAAAUAAGAUUAAAGAAGCAGUUCUCAGAGGCUUCAGACUAUAUCAAAUGUUGUUUGUCCCUAACAACCAAAGUGGGGAAAAUCCUGGGAUACUGUUCUAUACUGAGGAGGGAGACCAAGAGAAAAGCAGAAGGCUGUUUUAAGCUGUAAUUCGUUACAGAUUAAAAAACCCAAACCAC